rnacentral:rRNA from 1 species
AGUGAACGCUGGCGGUAGGCCUAACACAUGCAAGUCGAACGGCAGCACAGGAGAGCUUGCUCUCUGGGUGGUGAGUGGCGGACGGGUGAGGAAUACAUCGGAAUCUACUCCGUCGUGGGGGAUAACGUAGGGAAACUUACGCUAAUACCGCAUACGACCUACGGGUGAAAGCCGGGGACCUUCGGGCCUUGCGCGAUUGAAUGAGCCGAUGUCGGUUGAGCUAGUUGGCGGGGUAAAGGCCCACCAAGGCGACGAUCCGUAGCUGGUCUGAGAGGAUGAUCAGACAGACUGGAACUGAGACACGGUCCAGACUCCUACGGGAGGCAGCAGUGGGGAAUAUUGGACAAUGGGCGCAAGCCUGAUCCAGCCAUACCGCGUGGGUGAAGAAGGCCUUCGGGUUGUAAAGCCCUUUUGUUGGGAAAGAAAUCCAGCUGGCUAAUACCCGGUUGGGAUGACGGUACCCAAAGAAUAAGCACCGGCUAACUUCGUGCCAGCAGCCGCCGUAA